rnacentral:rRNA from 1 species
GCUUGUCUCAAAGAUUAAGCCAUGCAUGUCUUAGUGUAAAUAACUCUUAUGAAACUGCGAAUGGCUCAUUAAAUCAGUUAUCGUUUAUUUGAUGGUCCCUUACUACAUGGAUAACCGUAGUAAUUCUAGAGCUAAUACAUGCGCCAAAUCCCGACCGUAAGGAAAGGAUGCAUAUAUUAGGUACAACCAACCCCGCAAGGGUCCCUGGUGAAUCAUAAUAUCUUAGCGAACCGCAUGCUUCGGCGGCGGUGGUUCAUUCAAGUUUCUGCCCUAUCAGCUUUCGAUGGUAGGGUAUUGGCCUACCAUGGCGUUAACGGGUAACGGAGAAUUAGGGUUCGAUUCCGGAGAGGGAGCCUGAGAGAUGGCUACCACAUCCAAGGAAGGCAGCAGG